UUAUUACUCCCUCCGUCCGGAAAUACUUGUCGAAGAAAUGCAUAAAAAUGGAUGUAUCUAGAAUUAAAAUAAGUCUAGAUACAUCCAUUCCUCUAACAAGUAUUUCCGGACGGAGGGACUAUUUC
rfam:Triticum aestivum genome assembly, contig: Triticum_aestivum_CS42_TGACv1_scaffold_594490_7BS